UCCUGGCUCAGAUUGAACGCUGGCGGCAGACCUAACACAUGCAAGUCGAGCGGAUGACGGGAGCUUGCUCCUUGAUUCAGCGGCGGACGGGUGAGUAAUGCCUAGGAAUCUGCCUGGUAGUGGGGGGCAACGUUUCGAAAGGAACGCUAAUACCGCAUACGUCCUACGGGAGAAAGCAGGGGACCUUCGGGCCUUGCGCUAUCAGAUGAGCCUAGGUCGGAUUAGCUAGUUGGUGAGGUAAUGGCUCACCAAGGCGACGAUCCGUAACUGGUCUGAGAGGAUGAUCAGUCACACUGGAACUGAGACACGGUCCAGACUCCUACGGGAGGCAGCAGUGGGGAAUAUUGGACAUGGGCGAAAGCCUGAUCCAGCCAUGCCGCGUGUGUGAAGAAGGUCUUCGGAUUGUAAAGCACUUUAAGUUGGGAGGAAGGGCAGUAAGCUAAUACCUUGCUGUUUUGACGUUACCGACAGAAUAAGCACCGGCUAACUCUGUCCCAGCAGCCGCGGUAAUACAGAGGGUGCAAGCGUUAAUCGGAAUUACUGGGCGUAAAGCGCGCGUAGGUGGUUCGUUAAGUUGGAUGUGAAAGCCCCGGGCUCAACCUGGGAACUGCAUCCAAAACUGGGGAGCUAGAGUACGGUAGAGGGUGGUGGAAUUUCCUGUGUAGCGGUGAAAUGCGUAGAUAUAGGAAGGAACACCAGUGGCGAAGGCGACCACCUGGACUGAUACUGACACUGAGGUGCGAAAGCGUGGGGAGCAAACAGGAUUAGAUACCCUGGUAGUCCACGCCGUAAACGAUGUCAACUAGCCGUUGGAAUCCUUGAGAUUUUAGUGGCGCAGCUAACGCAUUAAGUUGACCGCCUGGGGAGUACAGCCGCAAGGU
rnacentral:rRNA from 1 species